AUGUAUUUUUCUUUCCAUCGCAUAGCGAGUCAACAAUUUAACUUUGCCCCUGAAUUUGUGUACAAGUAUGAGGCACUGCUCCUAGGUGGUCUGCCUGAAGAGUGUCUGGCCAGAGCAGGAGAAAAAGUCAUCAGUUCUCAUCAGUGCAAUUACCCCAACUACCUACAUGCUUAAGCUCGUGGACCGAGAGAUUUGAGUACAGUGGCAUUUGGCCCAAAGAUCCUUCCAUCCCAGCUGCAAAGCUCACUACAGCCCUGGCUGCUCAGCUCAAUCAAGUUUGUGUAUGCCAAUGGUGUUGUGGGUGAGGUAUUUGCCCCCACUGGUGUCUCUGAAACAGUACUGAAUAUCCAUAGAGGUAUCCUGAACAUCCUGCAUCAAGAAAACACAGAAUGUCUAUGAGAUGCAGGAGAUAAGACUUGUAUAUUUUCAUAUUCACACAUACAGUACUUCUCACUCUCCAUUGUAUUACCUAUGCCGGAGCUCUGGGAGUGUGCAAGACCCACUAUGUGAUCAGUGAAGAUGCCAAGGCAGAGGUCAUCCAUUUGACUAAGACCAAGGAUGUGAAUCACUGCCAGGAGAGAACCAUGAAGAGUUUGGUCUGGCUUACACUGAGUAGUGUGUUGAGAUCCAGCAGAUAGGAGCAAAUGUAACUUGUUAUUGGCUUUGGUGGACAAACACAAAACAACGGAUAUUCUAGCCUAGGCAAUAUUACUAACAAUAUGUUUUAUCUACCCAGAGAGGAAAGAACCUGAGGGGAGCUGCCAUCUACAACUACUAUGCCACUGGUGCUACGAUCCUGGAAGCCACUGUUACAGAGCUCCAUCAGUUCUCACUUUUAAUGAGAUGAAUGGCACUGCCCAGAUGGAAGCAAAGUAUGUUGACUGAUUUGUAAAAAUACAUCUUAAGGUAUACAGCAUCUAAAAUUAUUAAUGAGCUUAAAUUUACAGACAAACCUUGGCUUUUGUUAAGAUUGAGAAGAUCCCAGUUAAGCCCUUCAAAGCAGAAUAUCUUCACCGUGGAUCCAUUCAGCAUGAGUUUGCCACUGAGAUUCUCCAGACACUGAUUCAGCUCCUUAGGCUCAGCAACGCACAUUAUCAGAUACAGUGACAAGUAGUACCUUCCUCUUGAGUUACAGGACAUUGU
rnacentral:lncRNA from 8 species